rnacentral:rRNA from 1 species
UACGUAGGGUGCAAGCGUUGUCCGGAAUUAUUGGGCGUAAAGAGCUCGUAGGCGGUCUGUCGCGUCGGCUGUGAAAACCCGGAGCUCAACUCCGGGCCUGCAGUCGAUACGGGGCAGACUGGAGUUCGGCAGGGGAGACUGGAAUUCCUGGUGUAGCGGUGAAAUGCGCAGAUAUCAGGAGGAACACCGGUGGCGAAGGCGGCUCACUGGCUCGGUACUGACGCUGGAGGUGCGAAAGCGUGGGGAGCAAACAGG